rnacentral:lncRNA from 1 species
AAAAUAGUUAGCUAAUACAUCACACUCACUAUAACCGGUGUGCAGCGUAUCAUUCCCCACCGCUGCUGCUGUAACUCCAGCCUGCUGCUUCAGGCCCACUCUGAGCUGCGAGAGUGUGGUUAUAAACCCGUACGCUGGAUCUGCUGCGAGCGGGAAGAGCUGGAGUGAGUCGGCUUCCAGGGCAAUUCAGUCAGACAGAAAGCGCAGAUAUUCUGAGGGGGCUGGUGGUGGUGGUGAGGGGGAAGCGUACAAGAUAUUUCCUCAGCGCUGCGGUAAGAAAAUCAAUAGGUACACUGCAGCUCCA